GAGAAUAAUGGAAUGAACACGCUAUUAUUUUAUAAGAAUUCGAGGUCAUAAGAUCAGGAGAGAGCUCAUUAUAAGCAAUCCUAUUUAACGAAACUACGAUAUCUUUACCAGCUUAUUUAAAUCCGUAAAGCUUCGCGUGUGUAUUUGAAUGCAGAUAACGAAGAACGCCAUUUAUUUUACGUCGUUCUUUUUCUUCAACGAAUUGAGAUACAAAAGCCUAGCUCCCCCCUUUUCGACACAAUGCACCGAAACGUUAAUUGAAUCUUCACGUUCUAAAAGCAAUGUUGCUCUGAACGAUGAAAAAGAAGAAUGAAUAUGAAAAUCACGUUCACGAAACAAGGACAUUGACGUGGGAAUGAGAAUUUCCUGCGAUUAUUUAUUACACAUACGUGUUAACAAACAUCAUUUUUGUCACACCAUUUCCAAAGAAUACAAGUAGGAUCAAACUACGAAAUAUAUUACAAGAGUAAUGCUAUAGAAGCACCGACGUACCCUACACAGGAGUCUCGUAAAUUUGUGCUUGAUUGUUGCGACAUAAAACCUAAAAUAUCAUCUUUGUGACGGUUGGAUCAGGUCUGUGGAAAAGGCAAUUUAAUUGUUGGCUAUAAAAUGUGACCACAGAUUAGGGUCAGGGUGAAGUUCAGCGGCGAGGAUAAAAAGAAGCUGCAGGUGGAGACGGGCGAGGUAGCCUCCUCGGGACACGAAACAACCGAACGAAGAAACUCAAUGUAUCGUUCUAGACGAACCCGUCAUUGAAACUGAUCGUUCCACGCGGGAGGUAGAGAUUCUCGCGUCUUAUUCAUGAGACUACUUCUGGUCAAUCAUCCCGCAUCCUGAAUGGGCCACCUGCAGUUACCACGGGGAACACGGAUGCAUAAUAAAUUCAAAUCGUUCGACCGGAUUGUUACCUAAUCCUUUUUAUUGGAACCGAUCCGGCUGCGUCGAUCGUAUCUGACCUCCUCGAUCAUGGAACCGUGUCGCGUUUUGUCGACGAUAAACUUAAAGCAUGCCGGUUUCAGUAAAAAAAAAAAAAAAAAAAAAAAAAACCAAACGAUCAAAGUUGGAAAUUUUAAAAGUGAAUUGCCGCUUGAUCGUACACAACUUGCAUAUUAAUUUAGUAACUUGAAAUAUUUUAGAGGACAGAGAAUCAUAUGAUGAACCACUGAUAUUUUUCAUGAAACAGACGGAUACCGUUAAAAUACUGAUAUAGUAAAUCAAUAGUACGUUGAUCCAGUAAUAGCAAAUUAGAAAAUUGAAAUAGAUAAUGAAAUUAAGCGGUAAAAAUUGAAGUAGAUAAUGAAAUCAAGCGAUAACAAAUUAAAACAACAAAUUUAGAAACUGGACUUAUAAACACCGUUAGUAUUAAACCAACAAUAACACAAACAAGAAAUAGCAUUAUAGACGGAGGUUGGAGUAACCUUCUUGUCCCAAAAGCUAUAUCUUUCGAUCAAACAUUAUUAUCAGACAGUAAAGCUGCUUGAUUAUCAAGAUAAGGAAGCUAAGCUAACGAAUUUUUGCAACUGUCUAAACAGCCUGGGGAAUAAUGUAACGUUUCACCGCUCGGAUUUGCUCUCUGGAAAGACGCGAAGCACAGAAGAGAAAAUCACGUGAAUCAAAGUACGCCUGGCAGAAAGAUAGGGGUUGUUCAAGAACACUGGAGUUUGAAGGUGGCCGAAAGUAUUCUCGCGACACUCGACCCAAUUUCGUUCUCCGUUGUGUAAUCACCAAGCGAAUAAGCGAGUUUUACCAGGCGUUCGUCUGCUUCGGAGACACACAGGCGAACCCAGAUUUCCACGUUCCAGCUUUCAUCUACGCGAAAACAAACGUGUUCACUUGAAAAAACGAAAACAUAAUGUGUACAACAUUGACGUAAAAAGAACAAUUUUUACAAAAAUACGAGAUGGUCCAAUACCUUCAGGUUAAUAGGACAAGCAACAUCAAAGAAAAACCUACUCGAAACUUCUACUCAACCCUAGAGAUCAUCACCGAGAAGAUUCGAUUUGAUAUCGAAUCGCGUUAAUCACGUUCUGCGUUACAAUUAGAAAUUUGUUCAAGCAUCUGUCCGUGGGCAUGUUAUCGACGAUCGUGCGCUAUAUCGACGUAUAGUCACGCACAGUUGGCUCUUUGAUGCACGUUGAUUCCGCGUAGCUGGCUAAGCUGUUCGAUAAAAUCAGUUCGGCGGCAAGAGGUAAAAAGAACAGAAAAAGGAAAGGAAGGAACGCAGUUCGUUCGAAGACGCAUCGAUAUCCACGGUGCUCUCCAUCUUGUUGUCGCGGUAUAAAAUACCGGCUGAAAAAGGAGCGCUGAAUGGUCGACGUCCGACUAAAAACCGGACUUGCUCUCGUUACGCGACGCCAAAGAAACGAAGCAGUUGGCCGCGGCACGGCGCAGGUGGGUUAGCAGAUGGCCGAAACGGAAACAGUGAAUGAAGGAACGAAAAGAAGUGAAAAGACACUCUGUACGUCCUAUCGUAUCAUUUCGGACGUGAACGUGCGAAAAGACAAAUAUCACCGCGUCAACCGAAUAUCAAUUUCAACUUCCGCGAUUCCUUCUGUUUCGUCUCGUUUCGUUUAACUAAUGGCAAUGAUGUUUAAUUAUAAACGAAAUAGUUCGUACGUUGAAUUUAAAAAAUGUGACAAUAAUAACUAAUAACAGAGGAAAUGAGCUUUAAUAUUUGAUAGUUUAUGUUUAGUUGUACAAGCGAAA